UACGAAGGGGGCUAGCGUUGCUCGGAAUCACUGGGCGUAAAGGGUGCGUAGGCGGGUCUUUAAGUCAGGGGUGAAAUCCUGGAGCUCAACUCCCGAACUGCCUUUGAUACUGAGGAUCUUGAGUUCGGGAGAGGAGCGUGGAAUUCCCAGUGUAGAGGUGAAAUUCGUAGAUAUUGGGAAGAACACCAGUGGCGAAGGCGGCGCUCUGGACCGAGACUGACGCUGAGGCGCGAAAGCGUGGGGAGCAAACAGG
rnacentral:rRNA from 1 species